GAUUUUUAGUAUUAAUUUUGCUUCGAAGAUUUACGGAUAUCCGGAAUUUUCGAAUCAAAUCGAAAUAAAAAACAAAUCGAAUCAAAUUUAAUGGAUAAAAUGUCCAGCUCUAUUUGGAAUUUAAUUGAAGACUUAAAAAGUGUGCCUAGAUGUAAUAAUCUCAAGAGGAAAUGGACCGAAAAUGAUUUUUGACUUUUCAAUGGUGACGUACAUAUUGAUCAAACUAGUCAAAGACGAGAUCUUUGAGUUCGAGUUAAAAUUUACUCUACUUUUCUCUGGUAGUUUUUGGAACUCAAAUUUUGUAAUUUUGGGCUGUAUAAAAUUUUGGAUUAAUGUGAAGAGAAAUGUGGGUCAAAUCUUUUUUGGAUUCUAAAUGAAAAGUUUUUACUUAAAUGAAAUGGAAAAGUAAAAAAUUCCACAUUAUUUACGUCAAGAGAAAUCUUAUAGUAUAAAUAUGACACUCCCUUAUCAAAGGUUCAAUAAUUUGUAAAAACACUAUGGAAAAGGAGUGAGAGGGGCCAUAAUCAAACCACACGCGCGCCGCUGGGCCAUGCUAAGGUCUCGGGUCUUGGUGAGUGUAAGAUGUUUUUCAUACCAAGUGUUUUGCAUAAUUUCCUAGAUUGUGUCAAGAUAAAUCUAAACAGUUUAGAUUGUGUCAACAUCCAGAUAAUUAUUAGAAUAUUUCUGAUACUAAUCUCGCAUGAUAAGCAAGAAUAUUUCCGGAAUAUUCUUUCUUUUAUCGUUAUCCCUAGCUUGACGAUCAUGUUUCCAUCCCAUAUAAAUAAGCGCUUACCCUCUUCAUUAUUUCUCACGCUUAAACGCAAUUAGAAACUAGUUCCAACAAAACCUUAGCCGUCUCCUUAAGCAAGUCUCGAGAGUAUUCAUAGUAGUUAUAGUUUGUAGAUUAUGUUUCGGCUGCAGCGAAACAGUCUCAUUGUGGUUGUACCCUGAGAUUCGAAAAUCGCAUUCAAACCGUCUCACAUUACGGGCGAUUUAUUGAAUUUAAUUAGGACUGACGGUGAUAACAACACGCAAGUCAAUGGGGCAACCGGUGCAACCAGUGACAGUCAAUCAAUUGAAACACUACCAACAACAGCUCCGUCUGUGCCUAGCAACAUAGACGGACCCGACAAGUUUGAUGGAACAAUGAGAUUUGUCUUUCACGCUACCAUUUUCUAAACAUGUUAUAAUAAUUAAUAUUUCGGGUUAAUCCAAAACGUAGCUUCUAACACAAGUUUGUCUUAGUAGCAGUUACAAUUAUCAGUACCAAUUAUUUGUGGCCGCAGCAGUUACAGUUAUCAAUACCAGUUAUUUGUGGCCGUAACAGUAGGCUGAUACCAUCCCUCA